rnacentral:lncRNA from 1 species
UCCAUUCCAUCUUAAUCCAAUUACUCUCAUUCAUUCUUGGCCUAGGUAUUUAAAUCCUAAAAAAUCUGAAAAUUAUCCCCAUUUUCACCCAUAAUUCUUUUCUCCUUCCCCUCUCUUCUCUCUCUUUUCACUCUCUCUUUGCCGCCUUUAGCCGCCGCCGGAAAUCACCCACCGACGGCAGACCACCUCCAAACACCUUAAAAUUCACACCAUGUAAUCUCCACAACCUCCUCUUUUCAUAUCUCCAAACCAAAUCCUUCAAAAACCCCUCAAACUCUUUGAAUCUUAGAUCUAGAAAAUUUUACCCGUCAUUUUUUUUGUCCAAAUUCUUGAAGCUCUAACCACUACCACCCCAUAACACCUACAUCAAUGGAUAGAACUCCUCAAGACCUACCUAUUGAUUCCAAUUCUACCCCAAAAAUCUGGCGACCAUAAUCCGGCCAAAUUUCUGCAACCUCCCCGAACACCCUCUUUUGGCAUACCACCAUUUUUUCGGCCUUUUGAUUUGUAAAAUGGUAAAAAUCCUAUUCUUUUUCAUGGCUGAUUUUUUAUUUUAUUUUUAAUUUUCAGAUUUUAUUUUGUCUCUUAAUAAUUAUUUUAGCAUUAGUUUUUGAUGUUCGAAAUAUUAAAUUUCGUGUUUUUGCACUUGUUGAAGUGGUAAAAUUAUUUUGUAUUGAUGAAAGUGAGGUAGUGAAGAAUUACUUGAGAGUAUAGGGUAAUUGUUUUUUUUUAACUGCUUCAAGACUUUGUGAGUACAAAACUCAAAAGUCAUUUGUUUGGUAAGAAAAUAUAGACUUUUGGAUAAUUUUUGAAUAAAAGUCUAUCUUUGAAUAGUGAAGAGCAGAUUUUGUUUGUAAUAUUCUCUAUUGGACAAGAUUGAACCAAAAAAGUCUUGCUUUUGAAUUUAAGAGUAGAUUUUGUGAAAAAAUCUGUCAAAAAGAUUGACUUUUAAUCUUUAAAUAGCUGGUUGUUUUAUCAGAUAUAAAAAAGAAGAAGGAGGACACUCCAUCAAACUUAGAGAUCUCUACAUACACAAAAAAGAGGAAAAAAUCAGUAGCUAUAAUAUCCCUUAGCAGCUGAAAAUUGUGAGCUUUUGUGAGUUGAUUCUUAAGUGAAAAACUUGCUUAAGGAAAAUAGAGUAGUCUUGAAAUUUUUUUCUGGAGUUACAUAAUUGUUUGUUUCAACUGUUUUGCUGGGGUAUUUCUAGUUUAUUUUCUUGGGUUUGAAUCUACCGGUUGUCGCUGUCUUUUGCUGUUGUUGUUGCCGUUUAAUCGUUUUGCUGUUGAUUUUGGAAAGAGCUGACUCUGCUGUAUUUGUUCUUCUUUCUGCUGUCCAGGUAAUUUUCGGACCAUGUAAACUCAUAAAAUCGAGUUGGAAUGAAAGAUAAUGAAGCUGGAAAAUAUUAGUAGCUUUAUCCUUCUAUUGUAAUUCAUUUUUAUAUGCUCUUGAAUGUUUGAUAAUGUUAUAACGAUAUGUUAGUUAAUUAAAUUGUGUUAACCAUCUUUAAUUAUUUUUAUUUUUAUUUUUGCUAAAGCAUUAGAUAUAAUUCCACUGGGCGUUUGGUUGUCUGAAAGGAGCAUAUAUAUUAAAAUUUGAACUCUUGUAUCUNNN